rnacentral:tRNA from 2 species
GCCACCGUAGCUCAGUCGGUAGAGCAGUGCCAUGGUAAGGCGCGGGCCGCUGGUUCGAUUCCAGUCGGUGGCU